UUUAUACAAUUGCGUUUUAUACUUUGAUUAUUAUAUUAUGUAAUUUAAUCCUAUUUAAUAUACUGAAUAUUGCAAAAGAUUCUAACGUAGGUACACAAAAUGCAAAAUAAUCCGAUUUGCAAAUACGGAACUGCAAUAAACGUAUUUCUUACGGUUGAAAUUGAUAAUUUGGAUUAAAAAGAUGAGAACUUUGUACGUCUUUGAAAACAAAUAUUUUCUUUCGUAUAGCAAAUGACGUAAGCAGUACAUUUCCGAUAUUUUCGAUUUACACAAGUGCGAUACAAACUAUAAAUACUCCUCGAAGAUAAAAAAAUUCGUCAGUUACGAUCACAUCGUACGAUCAGUGUAACCAACUCACUCUCCAAGAACAAUUCUUAGUAGAAAAUAUUGGCAAGAUGAAGUUCGUUAUUUUCACCAUUUUCAUUAUGAUUGCUAUGGCUGUGGCAUACAAGCGAGGAAAGCAUAGUGAAGAAUCUUAUGAGAGUUAUGAAGCAUCCUGCGUUUCUUUGAGUCACCCUUGUAGACAAACUAGUGAGUGCUGUCGCAAUCUGAAAUGUCAGGAACAUGCUAACAUAUGUGUGCAACAAUACCCAAGGUCCAAAGGAGAUACAAGACCUCGUGGACGACAAAUGCCAUAUUAAUAAGGAUUGAUAUUUCUUUAUAUCUGACUACGGCACUACUUUUCUUUCAUAUAUAUAUUAUGUGUGUAACAAAGAAGACAGUUUCUAUGUUAUUUGUAACCUUGUAACCUUAAAUAAAGACAUUCACAGGAGCUAUCAA